UGUUUUUUUCAUGCAAAUAUACUCUACAAGACCUACGUUCAUCCUGAUUAUUGAAACUAGAUAUUGAAAUUAAUAUUAUUCGAGCGCUGUCAUUUGAACAUAUGGUCUCUUUCAGAUGCGCGAAUUUGGUUUUUCAUAAAUGCAUUUAUUUUCACACAUCUUCAAUUUGUUGAAGAAAACAUACUCGAUGUUCACGUCAACUUAAUCAAAAUGAUUACUGUAUUGUUAGGCACGGGAGUUUUUGUGUUAUAUAUUCUGUUUUGUGAAUGCUGUAUAGAGUACGACGAAUUAGAUCUUAUUGAUGAUUUGUUUGAUCGUGAUCUUUUUUUUUGAUACUAUAUAUAUAUUCCGACUAUUGGAAAUCGAUCAAAUGGAAACUGAAAAAAUAAACUGUUCACCAAAAGUCUUACCAUUAUAUAAUAAUGAAACGCUCGAAUCAAAACCAAGAUGUGAUGAAAAUAUUCCUGAGAAAUCAUCCACAGUGAUUCACAAAAGCAUAUAUGGAAAAAAUAGUAAAAAUUCCAAAACAAAAAAAAGUAGAGAACAUGUUCAAAACGAAACUGAACCAUUUCAAAAAUGCAUGAGGAGUUAUGGCACUUUCGACGCUGAAAAGGACUCAAAAAUGACGACUCCCGAAAAAAAGGAAGACACAUAAGGUGAUGGAAUGAAUCAGUAGAUACAAACUAUUUUCGGUAUGUAUUAUGGAAGGACGGUGGAAAAAGACAGAAAAAAAGAAAAAAAGCAAAGGAAUAUCAUGAGAAACAAAAAAGCAAUCAUUAUUAUUUUUGUAUAUCUGUAUAUUAUUUUUAUUUACAUUGUGUAGGUUGAAUGUUCAAGUCUACCGAAAUAAAUGUGUUGAAAGUA